GGAAUGGAGAUUAAGUUCAUGUUUCUCACUUGCUGACAGAUCCAGACAGGGAAAAACUUGACCCAAAAAAAAGCAAUCUUUCUUUCUAGAUUUUCCCCCCCAUCUUUUGUUAAAAGUCUUUGAAUCCAUUUCCUCCCAAUUUCCAGUCCUUCCUCCUAAAAAGUCCUCGAGCGUGACCCAGUUGGAGACUGUGAUUUGCUUGGGAUGAUUUUCCAAGAUAAAGUCAGGAUGAAAUCGGUCGGUCGUUUGCCAUUAUUGGGUUUUUAAAUUCCUGAACCUAGGAAUAAAAUAUGAGUGAUGCUGUGGUUCCGGAUCUUACACCCUUUGGAAUCCAGUGCUAGAAUUAGAAACAAAUAGAUUCUGGGUCUUGCAAGAAAUGGUUAAUGAAGUAAUGGGUAUGUCUGUUUUCGAUCAUUGGUUUCCAGUUUUAGUCCAAAUGGAUUGAUCUUCAGAAUUCUCGCCCUCAUUGUUUAAAAUCUUGGCUUCUGUCUUUAUUAUCUCUCUCUCUCUCUGUGCCAGUGGUUAGAUUUCAAUUCAGGUGAGCCAAUUGUGUCUGACACCAAGACUGAAUAAACAAAUCUGAGCCGCAGAUGACACCUGAAACCCAAAAAGCAAGAAGUGGGUGGUGUUUGUGCUCAUAGAAUCAAGCAAGGAAUCAGAGAAAAAGGUCUGAUUUAUUGCCAUCUGUGUCUUGGCUGAGUGCAAGAAUUUGAAGUAGAAUCUGGGGAAGACUUUGUUUCUUUGAAAGAAAACAAUCGACUUCUGAUUGUCCAGUUUUCUGGGGGAUUUGAUCUUGGUGGUAUCGUUGAGGAUGGGUGAAUUCCCCAAGGAGUGGAGUUGGGAAGAGAACAAGCUCUUUGAGGUGGCUCUGGCAAUGGUGGAUGAACAAGAUCCGGAUCGGUGGGAGGCCGUUGCGGCCAUUGUCGGAGGGAAGAAGAGCGUAGAGGAAGUGCAGAGACAUUAUGUAAUCCUUUUGGAGGAUUUGCACUUCAUUGAAUCUGGGUGUCUUGAUCACGAACUGGAGGAUGCUCAGUCAUAUGGUCAAGUUGAGUGUAUUAGUCAGUCAGUGUAUUGGACAGAUGAGGAUCAAAAAUUGCUCAUUCAGUUGGACAUAAACUGAUCAGUAAAGCCCAAGAGCCAUUCAUUCAAGCAGUUUGUCUCUUAAUUGAGAGCUCAUGCCUAAGCAGAAGACAGACAGUAGUACUUCAGUAUUUUGCUGUUAUUUCUGUAUUUCUUCUUUAUCCUUCUGAUGUUUCGUCGACAAAUGAAGUUCAAGUGGCAAGUUUGAUCACUGUAUUAGCAAAAUGUAUCCGAAACCUUGUCCACCAAACUUCUAGUGAUCAAUGUAAAUACGGCUAAAGAAUCGCGAUGGGAAGUUGUGGGUUUAUGUUAUUCUCUUCAGGUUAGCGUCUUGUGCUUUGUUCCUUCCUGUUCUUUUGGUUUUGCGACCCCAGAUCGUGUGAGCUGCAGCGUUCGGUUUACUGAAGCUUUUUAACUCAUUUGAACAAACAGAAAUUGAUGCUUUUGUAUUCUCUGGUGGUGAAGUGAAUUGAUCAGACCCUAAAGUAGGCUUCUUUAAGCUGUCAA